GAUGAACGCUGGCGGCGUGCCUAAUACAUGCAAGUCGAGCGAACAGACGAGGAGCUUGCUCCUCUGACGUUAGCGGCGGACGGGUGAGUAACACGUGGAUAACCUACCUAUAAGACUGGGAUAACUUCGGGAAACCGGAGCUAAUACCGGAUAAUAUAUUGAACCGCAUGGUUCAAUAGUGAAAGACGGUUUUGCUGUCACUUAUAGAUGGAUCCGCGCCGCAUUAGCUAGUUGGUAAGGUAACGGCUUACCAAGGCAACGAUGCGUAGCCGACCUGAGAGGGGGAUCGGCCACACUGGAACUGAGACACGGUCCAGACUCCUACGGGAGGCAGCAGUAGGGAAUCUUCCGCAAUGGGCGAAAGCCUGACGGAGCAACGCCGCGUGAGUGAUGAAGGUCUUCGGAUCGUAAAACUCUGUUAUUAGGGAAGAACAAAUGUGUAAGUAACUAUGCACGUCUUGACGGUACCUAAUCAGAAAGCCACGGCUAAAUACGUG
rnacentral:rRNA from 1 species